rnacentral:tRNA from 2 species
GGGCUCGUAGGGUAGCCAGGAUAUCCUAAUGGGCUUCGAAGUAAAAUUAUUACGAAGAUACCCAUUGACUCGUGUUCGAAUCGCGGCGGGCCCG